rnacentral:tRNA from 1 species
AGGGCUGUAGUUAAUCAUAACAUUUGGUUUGCAUCCAAAAAGUGUUGGUCUCUCAACCUGCCUUA